rnacentral:rRNA from 1 species
AAACUUUCAACAACGGAUCUCUUGGUUCUGGCAUCGAUGAAGAACGCAGCGAAAUGCGAUAAGUAGUGUGAAUUGCAGAAUUCAGUGAAUCAUCGAAUCUUUGAACGCACAUUACGCCCCUUGGUAUCCCGAGGGGCAUGCCUGUUCGAGCGUCAUUU